CGUCUCCGUGCUGUCUACCACUGUUCUACUGAGUUACAUGGUUAGUAGUACACUGCAUGCUGAGGGCAGUUCUUUUUCUUUCUUUUUUUACUAAAUACAAAAUUCAAAGGAAAUCUCAAGCUUUCAUGAAUUAAUUGGCUUACUACAGAGGAUAGCAGCAGCCUCAAAGAUCACUCCAUGCAUACACAGCCAUCUCUCUCUCACACACACACACUGCCAACUCUCUCUCAGGCACACGCACACAGCCAUCUCUCUCACACACAGCCAUCUCUCUCACACACACACAGCCAUCUCUCUCUCACACAGCCAUCUCUCUCACACACACAGUCAUCUCUCUCUCACACACACAGCCAUCUCUCUCACACACACAGUCAUCUCUCUCACACACACACAGCCAUCUCUCUCAGGCACACACACACUGCCAACUCUCUCUCUCACACAUACACACUUCCAUCUCUCUCACACACAUAUACUGCCAUCUCUCUCUCUCUCUCACACACACACACACUCUGCCAUCUCUCUCACACACACACACUGCCAUCUCUCUCACACACGUACACUGCCAUCUCUUUCUCUCUCUCUCUCUUUCUCUCUCUCUCUCU
rnacentral:lncRNA from 1 species